GAUUCGAGGCCUCCGGCGAAGGCAUAGCCAUCAGUGGCUGAACCACCGGUGACCACCACCAUUUUCAUCUAUCGCAAACCUUAACUACCGAGGCCCCUUCUUUUGAGCAUCUAUCAUUUUUUGGCCAAGAGCCAUAACGGAGCGGUACAUUAUGUUCCAUUUCUGACCAGCUCUGCGACGGUAUAGGGUGUAUGUCCCCAUUUCCAGCUAUCUCAGGUAUUUUACUGUCACGUCGACGGUAUUAUAUGUGCAAACUAUUGAUUUGUCUCCGCUUUUAGAAUUCCGGCGACUUUUGGAGGCACAGAUGGUGAUUUUAAGCUGUUUGGGGUUCUAGACACUUGACAAACCCUAAGAAACCUUUCUAAGUGGCUGCGAGUUGAGUUGUGUAAUAAGUAGCCCUCAAAAUUUUCAAGGACACAUCUAUCCUCCAUGGGAACAAGCUUGCAGACAACUAAUACAGCUUCUGGAAGAAGCACUAGAGUAAAGUGGAAAUGAUAUGGGUCCUGUCAAUAAGAGUCUCAACCAGCUUUUUCUGUUCAAAUCAAAGACAACUACACCUCAGGUAUGAUUUUGGUAACCCAUUCUAGGGUUUCAAUCAGAUUCCGGCAAUGGCAGAACAGACCACCACUAGCAAGCCAACGAUGGUUUAGACGUGUUCAGGCAAGGUUACGACCACUAGAAAAUGAUUUGUGUUAGGGUUUUCGAUGGACAGAAAGGGGCUGCUUGGAGAUGGGUCAAAGUCCAAUCAACUGAGUCACACUGAACCAGAGAGUCACCUUUCAAGUAUUUGCUACCUAACAUGGGUAUAACAACUGAUUUUUGGUGUCUUUUACAUUGUAAUAUAUUUGAUGUCUUUAAUUGUUUUUAAGGUCAUUUAUUGCUCUUAUUUGGCACAACAUACUGAUUUAUGUUAAUUGUUUUUAAAGGUCGUA